GGCGAACGCUGGCGGUGUGCUUAACACAUGCAAGUCGAACGGUAAGGCCCUUUCGGGGGUCCACGAGUGGCGAACGGGUGAGUAACACGUGAGUAACCUGCCCUCAUCUCUGGGAUAACAGUCGGAAACGGUUGCUAAUACUGGAUAUGAGCCUGCAAGGCAUCUUGUGGGUUGGAAAGAUUUUUUGGUUGGGGAUGGACUCGCGGCCUAUCAGCUUGUUGGUGAGGUAGUGGCUCACCAAGGCUUCGACGGGUAGCCGGCCUGAGAGGGCGACCGGCCACAUUGGGACUGAGAUACGGCCCAAACUCCUACGGGAGGCAGCAGUGGGGAAUAUUGCACAAUGGACGGAAGUCUGAUGCAGCAACGCCGCGUGCGGGAUGACGGCCUUCGGGUUGGAAACCGCUUUCAAUUGUGACGAAGCUUUUUGUGACGGUAGCAGUAGAAGAAGCACCGGCUAACUACGUG
rnacentral:rRNA from 1 species